GACGAACGCUGGCGGCGUGCCUAAUACAUGCAAGUCGAACGCAGUGGGGACGGGUGAGUAACACGUGGGUAACCUCCCAUCAGAGGGGAUAACACUUGGAAACAGGUGCUAAACCGAUAAUGAGGGAUGAACACGCGGUGCAUUAGCUCGUGGGGGGGGGAACGGCUCACCAAGGCCACGAUGCAUAGCCGACCUGAGAGAGUGAUCGGCCACACGGGGACUGAGACACGGCCCAGACUCCUACGGGAGGCAGCAGUGGGGAAUCUUCGGCAAUGGACGAAAGUCUGAUCGAGCAACGCCGCGUGAAUGAAGAAGGUUGUCGGAUCGUAAAGCUCUGUUGUUAGAGAAGCGGUAUCUACCCAGAAAGCCAUGGCUAACUACGUGCCAGCAGCCGCGGUAAUUC
rnacentral:rRNA from 1 species